UGGCAGAAAAAAGAAAAGCCUGAAACGGAAUAAAAGGAGCAGAAGCUGAAGCUACGUACGGCCAGUGGCAAAUUUCAAGUCUGAGCAACUCUUUGCUUCUGACAAUGGAUUACCUGAAAACCGUGGUCCCUUCACAACUCGUCGCCGAGCGAGGCUCCAAUCUAGUCAUCAUCAACCCAGGUUCUGCAAAUAUCAGAAUAGGCCUCGCUUCGCAGGACACUCCGGUCAAUAUUCCUCACUGCAUUGCUCGGUAUACCAACCAAGUCCCCAAGAGAACUGUUCAAGAUCAGAUGCUCAAUUCCCAGAUUACUACUGCUCAGCACAUGGAGCGGGAGAAGGCGUACGAUAUAAUUGCGUCGCUGUUGAAGAUACCUUUUCUGGAUGAAGAGGUUGCCCACAACUCUUUCCCUCGUAAGAUGGGACGUGUUGAUGGAUAUAAUCCACAGAGUAGCAGGAAGGAAACAGCAUUUUCUUGGACCGAUUUAUAUGAGAAGGAACCAGCUUCAUCUUUGCCAUUAGUAAGUUCAACAAAUGAAGGUACGGCUAAUGAGUCUUUGGACCAGCAUGAAGGCGCUAAUUCUAUGGAGCUUAUUUCAAGCAAACCUAAAUUGAGACAGUUCAUAUGUGGUGAGGAAGCGCUUAAAAUAUCCCCCACAGAGCCAUAUUGCUUACGACGUCCUAUUCGGAGAGGUCAUUUGAAUAUUUCACUACACUAUCCCAUGCAGCAGGUAAUUGAGGAUCUGCAUGCUAUUUGGGACUGGAUAUUGAUGGAGAAAUUGCAUAUCCCUCACAUUGAACGAAACAUGUACUCUGCUAUUCUUGUUGUGCCAGAAACAUUUGAUAACCAUGAAAUUAAAGAAAUGUUAUCCAUAGUGUUGCGAGACUUGCGUUUUAGCUCUGCAGUGGUACACCAGGAAGGUCUAGCAGCUGUUUUUGGCAAUGGGUUAUCAACAGCUUGUGUUGUAAAUAUGGGUGCUCAGGUGACAACAGUGAUUUGCAUUGAGGAUGGAGUGGGGCUACCUACUACAGAGAAGACGUUACCUUUUGGUGGAGAGGAUAUCGCAAGAUGCCUCCUCUGGACUCAGAGGCAUCAUCAGACAUGGCCACAAAUUCGUACUGACAUUUUGACAAAGCCUAUAGAUCUGUUGAUGCUAAACCGACUGAAAGAGACAUAUUGUGAAAUUAAAGAAGGGGAACUUGAUGCCGCUGCUAUAGUUCAUUCCUAUGAAGAUGGCAUGCCAGCUGGGUCUCACAAGACAAGGCUAACUGCCCUUAAUGUUCCUCCUAUGGGUCUGUUCUACCCAAUGCUUUUGGUUCCAGAUGUGUAUCCUCCACCACCACGUUCUUGGUUUCAUGACUAUGAGGAUAUGCUGGAAGAUACAUGGCACAUGGAAUUUCCCAGAAGAUCUGACAUAUCAGAUGGUUUAUAUCCUAGCAUGAAUAUUGGAUUACCAAUGUGGGAUAGCUACCCAAUUUUUGCGGCUAGACCAAAGAAAGAAGAGAAGGUUGGCCUGGCAGAGGCUAUCACAAGCAGCAUUCUUUCAACAGGGCGUAUAGACCUCCAGAGAAAGUUGUUUUGUAGCAUACAAUUGAUAGGUGGAGUGGCGUUGACGGGUGGCCUUAUUCCUGCAGUGGAGGAGAGAGUUUUGCAUGCAAUUCCUUCAAAUGAGGCAAUUGAUACUGUCGAGGUUCUGCAAUCAAGAACGGAUCCGAAUUUUGUGUCAUGGAAAGGUGGAGUAAUUCUUGGAAUUCUUGAUUUUGGCCGGGAUGCUUGGAUACAUCGAGAAGACUGGAUUCGCAAUGGGAUUCACAUUGGAAGUGGCAGAAAAUACAAGGACUCUUAUUUUCUUCAAGCACAAGCAAUGUGUUACAUAAACUCCUAAAAGUUCGCAGGCCCUCCCGCACUCUUGAUGUUUGUUCAAGCUGGCAGGUGCUUUUCUCUUCGACUGGCGUACUACACCAGGGUUUGAACUGGCUUGUUGGACAGCUUUUCCAUAUCAGUUUUUUUUUCACAAGUCAAAUUAUUUUUGCCUUGCAUUCAAGAAUUCGAAAUAUGCUCUGUAAGAACCAAAUCUCUUAUCAUAACUCACAAAUAUUCCUAGUUAAUAUAUGUGUAAGUCUUUUCUCCA